rnacentral:tRNA from 1 species
ACCGGCAUGGCGCAGGGGCAGCGCGCGGGGCUCAUAACUCCGAGGUCACUCGAUCGAAACGGGUUGCCGGUA